rnacentral:rRNA from 1 species
GCUUACGGCCAUACCACCCUGAGAACGCCCGAUCUCGUCCGAUCUCGGAAGCUAAGCAGGGUCGGGCCUGGUUAGUACUUGGAUGGGUGACCGCCUGGGAAUACCAGGUGCUGUAAGCU